AUGCCAGGAGCUGUGCCCUCAAGGAGCUCCCAGUUGACUGAGGGAAGACAACACAAAAAUGAAGCUGAAAAGCCGAGGAAAGGAGGCUGUGGGGAAAGAGUGCACAGCCUGGGGCAGAAGAAUUCAGGUGGCUGCUCUGGGCACCCUUCUUCAAGACAGGAUCUAAGAAGAGGCCUCUGCUGUUCAGCCUCCAUCCUCUUCAGUCAGAGCGAGCUCUUCUUUGGAACAAAGGAGGCAGGAAACCGAGGAAAGCCAGCAGUUUUGAAUUGGGCACCAUGACUUUUUCUCGCUUUGAUUCUUCCUUUCUGAGGUGUUGAGCUAGGAAAGACCUCAUCUAAUCAAACUGUUUUUCUUCAGAAAGAAGGAGCUGGAGGCCAUCAAGGAGAAGUUACUCUCCCUACGGUCACAGUAGUUGGCCAUGGCAAAGCCAGGACUUAACCUGGACCCCUUUCCUACACUGCUUUUCCUUCUAGUUUUGGUUUUUAUUAUUUUUUUACCCCCCUUGAAGGCCUUUCUUUGUGCCUCCAGUGUUCAGCAUAGUUCCUGGCGCAUAGUAGGUGCUCCUCAGAUGCUCACUGCCUUGUUGACUAGCUGGUCUGAAUGAGCAGCUUCAGGAAUGACUCUGACAUCCAAACAGAGUCAUGACUCACAGAUACAAUUAUAUAAUCAAUAGCAUUUUUUGUGCUGUGCCAAUUGCUUUCUUGAUGCUAUUCAUGGUGUACAGAUGGGCAGAAGACUCCUUAUGGUCCAUCAGUCUUGGCCCUCUCGGACUCCUUCCUCUUGCAAUAAUUUCCAUCCUCCUUUCUGGCCAUCCAGCCCUCUGUGUCCAUUUCCUCUGAAGUGACUGAAGCUAAAGGCAUAGGUUAGUUCAUUUAUUGGGGUGGGGCGUUGAGUUCUUUGGCUGAAUUCUCUCCCUCUUUAUCCUCGGUAACAGAUGGUGGGGAAUGAGCUGCACUGAUGUUCAUGGUGGUCUUUUUGCAAAUAUUUAUCAUGAGUGCUGCAAUACGAGAUGACCAAACGUCCCGCGAAAUGAUGUUUCUUGUUGCCUUUGGACGAGAGAUAAAACCAGCUCGGCCAAUUCCUUUCUGUUCCUCUCCAAGUAGAACCUGGGAGCUCUCCUUCCAUGGAGCUCCGAAUUCCUUUUGUCUUCUGAUUUUGUUUAUAGCGCUCAUGUCAAGAGUGAUAUGAUUCACUUUUUCCAUUAGGCUACUCACCCAUUGGUCACUGGACAAGAAUCUCCCCUUGACAGCGCCACCAGCUAAGUUAACGUUUAGAUACG
rnacentral:lncRNA from 1 species